rnacentral:rRNA from 1 species
GACGAACGCUGGCGGCGUGCUUAACACAUGCAAGUCGAACGGAAAGGCCCCAGCUUGCUGCGGUCCUCGAGUGGCGAACGGGGGAGUAACACGUGGGUGAUCUGCACCUCACUCUGGGAUAAGCCUUGGAAACUGGGUCUCAUACCGGAUAGGACCGAUCGCUAGUGUGUGCGGUGGAGUGUUUUUCGGUGCUGGUUGAGCUCGCGGCCUAUCAGAUUGUUGGUGAGUUAAUGGGCUACCAAGGCGGGGACGGGAUGCAGGCCUGGGAGGAUGGACGGCCACAUUGGAACUGAGCGACGGCCCAGACUCGUACGGGAGGGAGGGGUGGGGAAUAGUGCACAAGGGGAGCGAGCCUGGUGCAGUGACGCCGCGUGGGGGAUGACGGCAUUGGGGUUGUAAACCAAUUUCGGCAGGGACGAAGCGUUUGUGACGGUACCUGCAUAAGAAGCACCGGCUAACUACGUG